CUUACAAACAAGCACAAGGGUGCUUCAGAAGUUUACAGUGCAUGACACAACAUUCGCCAAUCAUAGGCAUAUCAAUGAGUACCUGCUUAAACCAACUAUUACAAUAUUAAACAGGAAAAUACUCUAUGCAGCAGCCACAGCUUCUGCAGGCUUUGCUUCAGGUUCUGCUGGUGCUUCUGCCUCCCAGUAGGCAGUCUUUUUGCCAGUUUUGGAAACAGUUUGAAGAACUGUCUCGGCUGGCACGUUGCCUUUGACUGUCACCUUUUGUGCAUCAAAAUCAAUGUCAUAUGAUUCCACACCUGAAUAUGAUAAGAAAGAACAUUUCUCAGCAUUCCCCAUCAUACCAAUACGUUAUAAAAUCAAGUCGGUAUCUAAUAAAGAUGGUUACUAAAGAUGGUUUGACAAGGCAAGAUAAAUUAGACUUUUACAAGGAAGCAGCUCAGUAAUGAUAACCAUAUUAAGAACAUAUUACACAGUUUCAAAUGCUUGGCCAGUUGUUAUUUCCAACAUUCUAUUGACAUAUGCAUUUCAAUUUGCCCCUUAUGCAUUAUAUAGACGGAAAAUUGCAAUAUCAACAUAAGUAAAACCAUCGUUGUGUAUGUGCCUAGACCUUCACAGACAUAAAAUACACAAAGCACUCCAAAAGCAUUUCUUAUUGUUGAAACGCUGAUCAUGAUUUCAAGAAACAUCACACAGUUUCCAGAAGCAAUAACAGAAACAAAGAAACAAGUUAAACGCAAAAGAAGAACAACAAACCUUCGAGCUUGCCAAGUACCCUUUUGACAGCACCAACACAGCCUUGGCACGACAUACCAACCUUGAGGACUGUAGUCUGCACAGAAAACGAAAGAAAGAAUUCAAUUUACCCAUAUCUCGGUAAAACCGAACAACUACAUGUACCUACUGCAGUAUAUCAAAACUCUCAUGCAUAUCGGCAUUCUCAUGAUGAUUACAAACUCUCAAAGCACAAGUCAACACGUAAUUGGUUUUUUUUUUUUUUUUCUUGUCCAUUUCUGCAGUUGCCUUGGAGAAAUCACCAAAACAACAAUCUGAGAUCAUACUAGAGUAUUCAGCUUGUAAAACAAAACAGAACCCAUAAUUGUUCCCUAGAGACCAUCAAAAUGAACAUAUUUCUUCACUCAAACAAACGAAAGAGAUCCUCUAGCUAAAAAGCUACAUAGCAAAAGCCUAUUUGAAAGUAAAUGCUCAAAGAAAAAGAAUCAAAUCAUCCGAAAGAAAAAUAGGAAUCAAUUAAACCCGAGCGGGCCACCAGAAAUCAAACAGAACAAUGUUUCAAUCAAAGGCGGAUACAUGAAAUCAAAAGGAAGAAGAAAACCCAGAUAGAGAAAGGAAGGAGAGGAAAGAUGGAUGAGGGUACCUGAGAGGCCAUCUUUGACUCUACGUGGAUCGGA
rnacentral:lncRNA from 1 species